AGUUUGGGAGGCGAGGCGCCUCCUGUAGUAAAGUCUGAAAGAUGGGGGCCUUCCUGAGGGAUGAAAGCAGAGUCAUUCAUCCCAUCAUCAGCUGGAGCAGUCCGUUACCAAUUGGUUCGGCUAGUGGAGUGCUGCCACCAACCUUUACCUUGGCGGCCAUGAUUCUGCAAACCAUUCAAAUUCGAAUGCCCAGCUUUUCAAAGAUUGCAAAUGGGCCCAUGAAGAGGCCACACAUAUUUCCAAAAAGGGAAAAGUCCAAAGAUGGUUUGGAGAAUGGGGUAAACAUGUUGCUAAAGAAGGAAGAGCCCAAGGAUGGUUUGGAGCUUUUCAAAAACACAAGCUGGGGCAUGAAGGUAAAGAAGAAAGAAGUGCGGCCAUCCAACAUUUGGGUCAUUAAGUGCAAACAUCAAUGUGGCCCUUCAUUGCAUCCAAGCCAUGCAUGAAAAAGAGAGGUUUGGGAUGAUUCAAUGGCCUGGAUUGGCCAAUAUCAAACCCCAAACAUAAGGUGUGGCCCAUUUCCAUCAAAGAAAAAACUAAAACAAAAACCAAAAGCAAAAGUCUUGCUUAAGGAUUUUAUUAGAGGAGAAGGCAAGAAGAGGAAAAGGCAGAGGAAAGAGGGUAACGGGAAUCACAACCAAGUCUGAAUGCUCUUUUCCCGGUGGGUUCGAAGCUACCAGUUUCCAGACUCCGCCGCUGCACACGGCAUGAUUCACGACAACGCAAGCGACGGCUUCGACUUCUUGCAUGUGAAGGAACGUAAACGGAUGGUUUGGCUCACUUCUCUCUUAGUGGAAAGGGAUCGCGAAGAUCAGGGAAGUGUUGCGAAGAAUCUGAGCCAAACUCGGCAAGAACUCGAUCAAAACAGCGCUCGACUUCGUUGUCUUCGCUAAUGGGUUGUAAUUGUCUGAUUUUGGUUAACAGAGGGUUAUGAUUUACGUAUUGAAUGGUUCAGAUUGCUCAAAGAACCGCUCCCUUGGAUCGGGAAUUGCUGCAACGAAACCGAUUUAUCAUGCGCUUAUACUACUUUGCAGCUCUGCUGCACUUGGGUUGUCACAGCAUGGAUACAAAAAUACAUGUUUAAUCAACAGUAGGAAUGAAGAUCAA